rnacentral:rRNA from 1 species
CCUACGGGGGGCAGCAGUGAGGAAUAUUGGUCAAUGGGCGAUGGCCUGAACCAGCCAAGUAGCGUGAAGGAUGAAGGUUUUCGGAUUGUAAACUUCUUUUAUUAAGGACGAAACUUGACGGUACUUAAUGAAUAAGCUCCGGCUAACUACGUGCCAGCAGCCGCGGUAAUACGUAGGGAGCAAGCGUUAUCCGGAUUUAUUGGGUUUAAAGGGUGCGUAGGCGGCACGCCAAGUCAGCGGUGAAAUUUCCGGGCUCAACCCGGAGUGUGCCGUUGAAACUGGCGAGCUAGAGUACACAAGAGGCAGGCGGAAUUCGUGGUGUAGCGGUGAAAUGCUUAGAUAUCACGAAGAACUCCGAUUGCGAAGGCAGCCUGCUGGACUGUAACUGACGCUGAUGCUCGAAAGUGUGGGUAUCAAACAGGAU